CUGACGGAUGUGAGAGAGAAUCAAGGGUGACCAUAAUGAGGUGCCGUCCGGUAGGAGUAGGUGUGAGGAAAAAAGGCCUGAACCAAUAUUUACAAGGAUCUCAGCAUUACUGUGGAAAUAUAGAAAACCUAAGAUCUUCUGGGGACAGGAUGCUGGAACUAUCCCACAUAAACAUGUGUCCAUCCUGAACAGUUACCUCAUGGGUACCAGGAGGCGGCCACCUUGGGACCAGGCCACAUUGGGACCAAGAAGCCAGGAUCAGGAAGCUAAUACUGGCCCUGGAGCAGGAAGAGGCCAUCUCAGCAGAUUUCACAUCAUUACUGGAGAUGCAGCCUGGGAAUAUUCCAGUUAGGAGCUCCAGGAUUCAAGGAGCAAAGUCACCAAAUGACUGAUUUGCAGGACCAUAGUAGGCUUUCUUGCAUGUGUAUAUUUCCUGGCCACGAAGAAGAUGGUCAUGUUUUUAUCCUGAUUUUACACUCAAAAAUAUGUAAGAAGAGUAAUUGGUUUCUAAUGAAGUUCUGACCAGAUGUUCCACUAUCAGAUCAUCAUCAUGUCUCACAGAUGAUACCAGUUGUAUAUGUUUAUGGAUGCCACAUAACAUCUUUAGACUUCAGUUUCUUACUCUGUCAAAUGACAGCAUGUGAUGACCUUUGUAAGGGUUUGUUCUGUUCUAAAAUCCUGUGAGCUAUUAAUAUAAUUAAAACCAGAGACAUACUACAUCCUUUUCUGCCCUGAAGGACUGAGCCAGCUACAGAUUCAUCUCAGUGCUGUUGGUACCUAUUAUGGGCUAAAUUAUGUCCCCUCAAAAUUCAUAUGUUGAAGCUCCAAACCCCAAUACCACAGAAUGAGACUAUAUUUUCAGAUAGGGCCUAUAUAGAGGUAUUAGUUAAAAAGGGGUAAUUAGGUAGGGCCCUAAUUCAGUACAACUGAUAUUCCUAUAAGAGGAAGACACACAGAGAGAAGAGCAUUAGAGACACAUGUGAAGACAUAGGGAGAAGGUGGCCAUCCACAAGCCAAGGAGAGAGGACUCAAGAGAAACCAAAC